rnacentral:lncRNA from 1 species
ACCUGUGAAGUGUCUGCCAGUGGCAUAUGUGUCCCUCGGCAGGAUGUCCUCGACAAGAGAUCUGGCAGAGCCACGUGAACGCCGCAUGCCAGUACAUCCGGGUCGUCUCCAUGACAGUGGAGGAGGUGAAUUUAGAAGCGGAAUGCGCCGUACCUCAGUGGCACUUGAGCCAGCUACGACCAUGCGAGAACUGGGAAUUCUGUCAGGAGGUUCACAAAGGCAAAACUAAGAGCUUUCUUGGCACAACUCUUCCUGGCGACGUUGCUGUUGCUGUGGAGUACCCUGCAAACCGAUUCUCGGCGUUAGUCGGCCCAGUGACGUGGUGAAGUUCGUCGUGUGGACUCCAGCUCCCGGCGUGAGGCCACCCAAUCGCGUUUGGUGGUCGUGACUGACCGCCUGCAAACCAACUCGCAGUGUCAGUCUGUCCAAUGACGUUGCAGCGGGGUCCACGGUGUCCAUCCUGAAUCGUACUGUCAGGCUUUCGACAAAAAGGCUAGGGCUGCUCAGUGACGUGCCUGGUGGCACAGAGUCCCUCCUGGGCGGGAUGUUCUCGAGAAAAGGGGGCUGCUCGACCACGUGGCGACAAAAGCGCAACUGGACCUUAUGAGACGUACGGGGCAUUCCGGGUCAAUCCAAUCUGUUGUCUACUAUGGCAUCCACUCGGCGCUACACCACGUGCGGCUGUAAUAUUCUGGAAGAAGUCGAGUCGACGUUCAGCAGGGACACGAGCGAAAUGCGAUUCCAAGGAGCAAUGCAGCAUAGCACGUCAAAGAUACUGCGUUUUGCGCAUGUCCUUCCAUGGAAGUUUCACUUCGAACGCCUCGGAACCUCUUCAAGCCUUCAGUAACAUUUGUGCUCGCGACCACUUAAAGAAUGCUAAGUGAC